rnacentral:lncRNA from 1 species
GCGGGGCCAGGAAUGCUCUGGCCCCACCCAAGUUCGAAGGGCCAAUCGGGGCCCCGCUCUGUUUCUGCGCUGAUCUCACAAGUGACAAUGCUCUUUGGCUCUGACCAUGCCAGCAGGCUUCACGGUUCUCGUUUUCCAAAGAGGAACACAGAUUCAGCGAGCGGCUGCUGGCUUCUGACCCAUUUUGAUGUCAGGGCUUGGCACGUAGGAGGUGUUCAAUGUUGAUCGAUCCAAGGUCGUGCACAUAGGGUCUAAGACGGAAGAGAACUUCCUGCCCCUCUUGGAGCUUCUAUUUUAGAGGGAGACACGGCCAGACAGGUCUCGAACUCCUGGCCUCAAGUGAUCCGCACACCUUGGCCUCCCAAAAUGCUGGGAUUCCAGGCGUGAGCCACCGCGCCUGGCCUGUCCUAGGGAGAAUGAGCCUGAUGACUUUACCAUUUUCCACCUCUAAGAGCCAAUCGCAAAGGAGGCUGGCUGGCAUCUUGUGUCUGUCUAGCAUCUCUACCAGUUUCUGUAGAAAACCCUCAAGCUGUGCCAAGACGAUCAUGUCUGGACACAGCUCUUGGUGUCACGGGGUGUCUCCUCCUACUGCCUAUCGCCCUUUGCAGCCACCAGAAUAAUCAUGCAGGUGAGAGCCACAGAAAGGCUGAGUGUCCUUCUCCACUCUGCAUGGUUCAUGGGUGACAGCUAAAGAUUCCCUUGGGAAUCCUCCCCAUCCCAGCUCCACUACAUGCACAUACUCUUGGGGCGUGCUACAACUCUUAACAGACUGUGUUGGAAACCAAAGAAAACAAUUCAUCCACUUCAAGGAGCAGGAGACUAAGUACUCAUUCAUGUAGUUUCCUUUCUUUCUAAACCCUU